UCGGGGCGGUGAGGGGCGCAGAGCCCGUGGCCUAGGACUGGGCUGGGCCACCAGCUCUCCAGGCCCCAAUGAAGAGGAGAGUUCCCAGGGGGCUGGCUUGGAGGAACCGGUGGGGGUGGAGGAGACAUGGGCAAGAAAAGAAACUUCCCUUCUCCGUGAGGGUCUGGGAAGCCCCCUCCCUCCACCCACCUCCCCCACACUGAGCCUCGGAGCCGCACCGGAGCUUCUGUAAUUUGAUGCCCCGCAGCCGGGGGAGCCCGCGGAGCCCAGGCGGCCGAAGAAGGCCGGGGCUGGCGGGGCUCACCGCCCGCCCUCUCUCCUCGCUCUCCGCCCCUUUCUCCUCCCAACUCAGCUCUGCUCUGGGAGCCAGCCCUACGGGAUCCCGAGCAGCGCGGCCGCUGGAUUUUGAGGGGAAGGAGGCGGGGGAGAGAGAUGACGCGAGCAGACGUGGCCUGCGUGGGGGCCGGGCCGUGUGCUGCAGGCCAUCUGCCCGCCCCGCUGGACCCAGGAGCCUGCGCUUUGGGUGGGGGCCUCAAAGGCCGGAUCACAGCUCCCACAAAGACUGUUUGCUGGACCCAUCCACAGCUGGGAGACUAAUCAGCCAUACUGAAAAUGUUCGACAUUGGUGGGGGAGGGGUGGAAUGUAGCUGUUUGAAACAAACGUGUAUAAAUAAAUGAAUUGUUGACCUGGAGAUUGGUAGCUUGUUCAAGAAAGUCCAUGUCCCUGGAGUUGGGGGUUUCUGUAGGCACUUUAUUGCUCCACUUUCAAAAGCUUGGGCUGGGCCCAACUCUGAGGCUUCCUCAUCCUGUUUCUAUGACCAAGUUACAUCUAUGGCUUGAACCUCUA